rnacentral:rRNA from 1 species
GACGAACGCUGGCGGCGUGCUUAACACAUGCAAGUCGAACGGAAAGGCCUCUUUCGGGGGGUACUCGAGUGGCGAACGGGUGAGUAACACGUGAGUAACCUGCCCUUGUCUUUGGGAUAACUUCCGGAAACUGGGGCUAAUACCGGAUAGGAGCUCCUGCUGCAUGGUGGGGGUUGGAGAGUUUCGGCGGUUGGGGAUGGACUCGCGGCUUAUCAGCUUGUUGGUGGGGUAGUGGCUUACCAAGGCUUUGACGGGUAGCCGGCCUGAGAGGGUGACCGGCCACAUUGGGACUGAGAUACGGCCCAGACUCCUACGGGAGGCAGCAGUGGGGAAUAUUGCACAAUGGGUGGAAGCCUGAUGCAGCAACGCCGUGUGCGGGAUGACGGCCUUCGGGUUGUAAACCGCUUUCGCUCAUGACGAAGCUUUGUGUGACGGUAGUGGGUAAAGAAGCACCGGCUAACUACGUG